rnacentral:rRNA from 1 species
AAUUUAUUUAGCUAUUGGUAGUUAAAAAUUCAAAAAGGUUAAUAAAAUAAAUUGAACAUUAAUAAAUGAAAUUAGCUAAAAAGUACUGCAAGGGGAUACAAAUUAAUUAAUUAAAAGUAGUAUUAAAGUUAUGUACCUUUUGUAUCAUGGCUUAGCUAGAUUAAAAUAGAAAUUUAAAUUACUCGAAGUCCGAAUGAGCGAUCUAAUUCUCUUUUAUAGAAGUAAAAUUUAAAAUGUAGCAAAAUUUUGUUUUAAGAAGUAGAGAGUAAUGAAAUUUUAUUCGCAUCGGAGGUUAGCUAGUUCUCUUAUAAAUGUAUGAUAGUACAGUUUAUAUUUAUUUAAAUUUUAAGGUUUAGGUUGUAAUUUAAUUAAUAUAAAAACAGGUUUUUCAGGAUUAGCUGGGGAACUAAAAUAUUUAAAUGGUAAAAGCUAAUAAAUAAAUUUAGGCUUGUAAGUGGCUAUAAUAAAGAGUUUGUUAUAAUUUAUAAUAAAGUAAUAGAAUUUAUUGUUAUACUUUUUUAAUAUAGGAGAUAUUUUAUAAAUUUAUUUUAAUUUUUUUAAUGCUAAGAUGAGUAUUUGUAUAAGGUUUUAUUUAAAGAUUUUUAAACUAUUAAUUAAAAAGUUGAAAUAUUGUAAAUAAGUCUAAUAAAGGAAUUCGGCAAAUAUUAAGUUUCGCCUGUUUAUCAAAAACAUGUCUUCUUGAUUUUAAGAAUAAGAAGUCGGGCCUGCCCAGUGACGAAUAAAAGUUUAACGGCCGCGGUAUUUUGACCGUGCGAAGGUAGCGUAAUCAUUUGCUCUAUAAUUGAGGGCUGGUAUGAAUGGUUUGACGAGAACUUAACUGUCUCUAUAGGAUUUUUUAGAAUUUAACUUUUAGGUGAAAAGGCUUAUAUAUAAUUAAAAGACGAGAAGACCCUAUUGAGCUUAUGAUAGUUUUUAAUGGAGGGGAUUAAAAAUAUCUUUAAUUGGGGCAAUUGAGGAACACUAAAAGUUUCCUUUAGAAUAAACUAUUUGCGAAUGUUGAUCCAAGAAUUAUGUUGAUCAAAGGAUAAAAGUUACCAUAGGGAUAACAGCGUUAUCUUCUUUGAGAGUUCAUAUCGAAAAGAAGGAUUGCGACCUCGAUGUUGGACUAAAGUAUCCUAAAGAUGCAGAAGUCUUUAAGGGUUGGUCUGUUCGACCAUUAAAACUUUACAUGAUCUGAGUUCAGACCGGCGUAAGCCAGGUCGGUUUCUAUCUUUAAUUUAAGUUAUUAUAUUUAGUACGAAAGGACCAAUUUAAUAUAAUGUUUGUUUAUAAAGAAGAAAUCUAAUU